rnacentral:rRNA from 1 species
UACGGAGGAUGCAAGCGUUAUCCGGAAUGAUUGGGCGUAAAGCGUCCGCAGGUGGCUAUGUAAGUCUGCUGUUAAAGAGCAAGGCUCAACCUUGUAAAGGCAGUGGAAACUACAUGGCUAGAGUGCGUUCGGGGCAGAGGGAAUUCCUGGUGUAGCGGUGAAAUGCGUAGAGAUCAGGAAGAACACCGGUGGCGAAGGCGACAUCCUGGACCGGUAUUGACGCUGAGGCGCGAAAGCCAGGGGAGCAAACGGG